UACGGGGGGGGCAAGCGUUGUUCGGAAUUACUGGGCGUAAAGGGCUCGUAGGUGGCCAACUAAGUCAGACGUGAAAUCCCUCGGCUUAACCGAGGAACUGCGUCUGAUACUGGAUGGCUUGAGUUUGGGAGAGGAAUGCGGAAUUCCAGGUGUAGCGGUGAAAUGCUUAGAUAUGACAUAGAACACCCAUUGCGAAGGCAGCUUACUACGGGAUUAUUGACACUGAGGCACGAAAGCGUGGGGAUCAAACAGG
rnacentral:rRNA from 1 species